GGGGCCGUAUUUGGUUUCGACGGGGAUGCGGAGGGACAGAGAAGCGAGCGGCGGCCCUGUACCGCCUGAAAACGGGAAAUCAAAAAUGAACUGACACUAACAGUUAUUCUCCUGUCGCCGCUUAAUCGGCGACCGUCGACCCUGAGCGUCCUGCCGCGCAGGCCAUCGACGUCAUAGUAGCAGGGAACCAGCCGACUUAAGCUUUGCGGCCGGCCGGAUUUUAUGAAGCUACUGAUGCCGGAAUCCCGUCUGUGGGAGUCCGGCGGAGGGAACGUUAAAUCGCAGACUGCGCUCGGAGAAGCUCUGGUCUUCUGGUCUUCGGACAGGGGUUCGACCCCCCUCGGCUCCACCA
rnacentral:tmRNA from 1 species